rnacentral:rRNA from 1 species
UAAAUUCAAUUUAAAUUAAAAAUAAAACUAAUUUUUAAAAAAAGAGAAUUAGGGUAAAUCUUAAUUUUCAAAAAUGAACAUUUUAUAGAAUUAUUUUAAUAUUUAUUAUAUUUAAAUAAGCUUUAAUAGUAGCUAAUUUAUUAAAGUGUUUCAACUAAAAAAACUUUUUUAAUUAUUUAUUAAUUCUUAAAAUUAUGUAUUAGAAAACUAGCCCCAGCUUUUCAGGCUAAGUUAUUAUGAAAUUAUUAGUAGAGUUUUAUAUAAAUAUUUUAUUAUAAUUUUAUUGAUAAAAUCUUUUUUUCAAAUAAAUUUUAUUUAAAAAACUCGGCAAAAUAUAUUCUCGCCUGUUUAACAAAAACAUGUCCAAAUGAAAGAAUAUUUGGUCUGACCUGCCCACUGAAAUAAUUGAAUGGCCGCGGUACUUCUGACUGUGCCAAGGUAGCAU